rnacentral:rRNA from 1 species
UGGUACGUGAGCUGGGUUCAGAACGUCGCGAGACAGUUUGGUCCCUAUCUGCCGUGGGCGUCGAAAUUUGAGAGGAGUUGCCCCUAGUACGAGAGGACCGGGGUGAACAUGCCUCUGGUGUACCUGUCGUCGUGCCAACGGCGCAGCAGGGUAGCUAUGCAUGGACGGGAUAACCGCUGAAAGCAUCUAAGCGGGAAGCCU